rnacentral:rRNA from 1 species
AUUGAACGCUGGCGGCAUGCCUAACACAUGCAAGUCGAACGGCAGCACGGCAGUAGCAAUACUGUGGGUGGCGAGUGGCGGACGGGUGAGGAAUACGUCGGAAUCUGCCCAGUCGUGGGGGAUAACUAGCCGAAAGGUUAGCUAAUACCGCAUACGACCGAGAGGUGAAAGCGGGGGACCGCAAGGCCUCGCGCGAUUGGAUGAGCCGACGUCGGAUUAGCUAGUUGGUGGGGUAAAGGCCCACCAAGGCGACGAUCCGUAGCUGGUCUGAGAGGAUGAUCAGCCACACUGGAACUGAGACACGGUCCAGACUCCUACGGGAGGCAGCAGUGGGGAAUAUUGGACAAUGGGCGCAAGCCUGAUCCAGCAAUGCCGCGUGUGUGAAGAAGGCCUGGUUGUAAG